rnacentral:lncRNA from 1 species
CACGUGGGGGGUAACGUGUUUGACAAACGCUGGAAAGAUGCAGAUUUCAUGGCGGCAGCUUCAAAACAAUCAAAGCAGGAUUCAAACUGUUAACUAUAAAAAUAUUUUUUUUGUAAAGUUUGCUAAACUGUCAGGAUGCGAGCAGAGCUUCCUGCUGACCAGCGCUGAAUACACAUCCAUCGUUUACCCUUAAACAUGGCACUGGUUCCUCCACCUUCAGCUGCGUCCUUGUGGCGGAGAGAGGCGUUCAAGGCCGCUGCUCUCUGACGUCACACUCACGGAGAAAGUUUUGGUUGCUGUUUGUUGAGGGGCGGGGCCAGUGCGGAGGAGGGGAGCGGUGAUGCUCAGGAGGAGUAACCGAGGAAGAGCAACAGGUUUCAGUGUGCUGAUGGGUUCACGAGGACAGAGCACGAGCGUAUGAAGAGGAGCCAGUGAAAGCUGUUAAAGCCACCUGAUGCUGCAGUCUGAUCCGCUCACCUGGGACUGAACACACACACACAAAAACACACAUGGCUGCUAACGCACGUUCAGACCCGCCCAUCCUCACAGAGCAGGAGGAGUUACAGAGAAGAGCCAAUCAGGUCACAGAUGAGGAGCAGGAAGUCAACAAACUUGGCAACAUAAAUGAAGGUUUGGAGGAAAAUGGAAGAGUUUGGACUUCUGGUUGUCUAAAAAACGAUUUUGUCAUUUAUAAAAAGUGAAAUAAUUUCUUGAUAUCUUUUAAGCUCUUAUCAUUGACCUGAUUUUACUGAACUUUUGUCCAAAUGUAAAAAGUUAUUACAGAAGAACUAAAGGACCAAACAAAUUUGUUCUAGUUGUGUCUGUGUCUGUGUAGCACAUGGCUAAAACACAACCAUAACCAAGUAUCAUGUUUAGAUUUAAGAACAAUGACGAAUAAAAAAAAUAACACAGAUGAUGUGUGAAUAUCUGUGAAGUGUAUAACUCGAACUGUGGUCUCUCUGUGGAGGUGAAAGCUCCACCAACCUCUAAAUGUGGACACAGAUUAGUUCGUAUGAGACGGAACAUCUGAAACAUCAGGUUCAAGGGUAUGAAAUUCAUUUCCAGAAUCACAAAUCAAUAGAUUAGACGUUUGGAGUAUUUCACAGACUGCCGUGAAACAGCAGUGGGAUUUAAGUGAUUCUACUUAAAAAUAAUAAUAAUAAUGAUAAUAAUAAUAAUGGAUUGGAUUUAUAUAGCGCUUUUCAA